GUGACCUGGGUGUAUUUAUUUACUUAUUUGUAUGUGUGAUUGUGCAUGUACAUACACACAUACACACAGAUGCGUGCA
rnacentral:miRNA from 1 species